ACAAAGGGCCACCAAAUCACCAGAGCCAAGUGCUGUAUCUUCCUGGCUUCUCCCCAGUCUCUCCCCAGCCUGCCUCCUCUCUGUUCUUGCUCUUUCCCUGGAAACUGUCAUGUAGUGAGUUUCCUUUCUCUUAGAGAUGUUCCCAGUGCAAAUUCUCAGGCGUCCACCCCCUCCAACCCAUCCCCAGCCAUCGAGGACCUGCAGCCAGAUUAUGUCAAUGUGGACCCUGGAGAUGGGGAUGUGGUUUAUUCCUUUGUCUGUAGCAUCCAGCUACCAGAAGACUCAGAAAACACCAGAAGGACAAUUUUGGAGAACAAGGUAAGCUCGACUCCUGGAAGGUUCCCCAUCUUGUCUCCCUCCACCGUGUUCCUUCUCUUCCUUCACCUGUGCAUCUCUCCUAGGACCCCCACGUCAUCUACUCUGGCGUGAAGGAGAUGUAACACUUGGAGGAAUGCGGGGCAGAUCACCAACAAAGAUGGAACAGCACUAAAGGCUACAUAAAACCUUAUAAAGACGCCCAACCCUCAUGACCUCUCACAGACAGAAUGUGCUCCAGGGGAUGAGCAGGCUGCCAUUUUUGUUAUCAUGUUCUUUCCCAAUGUCUCCUUCUGUUCAUUCAACAUUGGUUGAAGUGUUAUUGUACCCCAGAUACCGUGCAGUGAGAUUAUCUCUGUUACCUGCUCUUAAGGUUCAAUGUUCGAAGAGUUGAGAAAGAGAAAUGAACAAGAGAGACGAGCUUUUGC
rnacentral:lncRNA from 1 species